rnacentral:lncRNA from 1 species
CCCUAAACAAAUAUAUACUAGUUCAGUGAUAAUGAACGCCAUACUAAUUUCCAAAUUGUACACAAGAAACUAAAAUUAAAAUAAUACAAGGCUAACAAAGGCCAGAUGCUCCUGACUUGGGACAGGCGCAAAAAUGCGGCGGGGUUAAACAUGUUUGUGAGAUCUCAUCCCUCCCCCUAUACCUCUAGCCAAUGUAGAAAAGUAAACGCAUAACAAUACGCACAUUUAAAUUCAGUUCAAGAGAAGUCCGAGUCUGAUGUCAGAAGAUGUAACCAAAGAAAAUAAACAAAAUGACAAUAAUACAUAAAUAACAACAGACUACUAGCAGUUAACUGACAUGCCAGCUCCAGACUUCAAUUAAACUGACUGAAAGAUUAUGAUUUCAUCAUAUGAACAUCAGGCAC